rnacentral:lncRNA from 1 species
UGAAUGUCUGUGCCCCUCCCCCCAUCCCAGUUCAUCUGUGGAAGCCCUAAUCUUCAAUAUGAUGGCAGAUAGAGGUGAGGCCUAUGGAUGUAAUUGGGUAUAGAUGAGGUCAUAAGGAAGGAGCCGCCUAAAACAUGAUCUCUCUUUCUCUCUCUCUCUGCAUGCAUGCACCAAGGAAAGGCCACGUGAGGACAUGACCAGGAAGAGAACUCUCUCCAAGAACCUCAUCAUGCUGGCAUCCUCUUUGUGGAUUUCUGGCCUCUAGAACCAUGAGAAAUAAAUGUUGGUUAAGCCAUUCAGUCGAUGGUCAGGCUUUGAAGAACUGUUAUCUUCCACUUCUUAUCUCCUGGAACACUCACUUUUGGAAUUCAACCACCAUGCUAUGAGGAAGCUCAAGCUGCUAUGGAGAGGCCCACAUAAAAAGGAACCAAGCCCCCAGUUUAAAGCCCUGGGUGAGUUCCCAAUUGACAGCUAGCACCAAUUCAUCAGCCAUGUGAGCGAGCAUCUUGAAAGCAGAUUCUGUCACUGCUGAUGCCACUAGAACAGAGAUGAGCUUUCAAUUGUAUCACCCAGUUUUAACAAUUAAUUUAUUUGAUGUUAUUUAAAGUCUGUUUUUUAGAAUACAACUGUCUGAAGAAAUAUAAAGUGAGCCCCAUAUAUAAUUUUGUAUUUUCUAGUAGCCACAUUAAAAAAGUAAAAAGAAACAGGUGAAAAUAGU